rnacentral:rRNA from 1 species
GAUGAACGCUGGCGGCGUGCCUAAUACAUGCAAGUCGAGCGAAGCGGGGACGGGUGAGUAACACGUGGGUAACCUCCUAUAAGACUGGGAUAACUCCGGGAAACCGGAGCUAUCCCGGAAACUUAUAGAUGGAUCCGCGCUGCAGUAGCUAGUUGGUAAGGUAACGGCUUACCAAGGCAACGAUGCAUAGCUGACCUGAGAGGGUGAUCAGCCACACUGGAACUGAGACACGGCCCAGACUCCUACGGGAGGCAGCAGUAGGGAAUAUUCCGCAAUGGGCGCAAGCCUGACGGAGCAACGCCGCGUGAGUGAAGAAGGUCUUCGGGUCGUAAAGCUCUGUCAGUAGGGAAGCGGUACCUAAACAAGAAGCAACGGCUAACUACGUGCCAGCAGCCGCGGUAAUAC